rnacentral:rRNA from 1 species
AAGACCUUGCGCUUUUGGAGCGGCCGAUGCCUGAKUAGCUUGUUGGUAAGGUAAAAGCUUACCAAGGCUUCGAUCAGUAGCUGGUCUGAGAGGACGGCCAGCCACACUGGGACUGAGACACGGCCCAGACUCCUACGGGAGGCAGCAGUGGGGAAUUUUGGACAAUGGGGGCAACCCUGAUCCAGCCAUGCCGCGUGAGUGAAGAAGGCCUUCGGGUUGUAAAGCUCUUUCAGCCGGAACGAAACGGUUACGGUUAAUACCCGUGAUUACUGACGGUACCGGAAGAAGAAGCACCGGCUAACUACGUGCCAGCAGCCGCGGUAAUACGUAGGGUGCGAGCGUUAAUCGGAAUUACUGGGCGUAAAGCGUGCGCAGGUGGUUUUGUAAGUCAGAUGUGAAAUCCCCGGGCUUAACCUGGGAACU